CACUCCUGCGGGAGGCAGCAGUGGGGAAUAUUGCACAAUGGGCGCAAGCCUGAUGCAGCGACGCCGCGUGGGGGAUGAAGGCCUUCGGGUUGUAAACUCCUUUCGCUAGGGACGAAGCUUUUUUGUGACGGUACCUAGAUAAGAAGCACCGGCUAACUACGUGCCAGCAGCCGCGGUAAUACGUAGGGUGCGAGCGUUGUCCGGAAUUACUGGGCGUAAAGGGCUCGUAGGUGGUUUGUCGCGUCGUCUGUGAAAUUCUGGGGCUUAACUCCGGGCGUGCAGGCGAUACGGGCAUAACUUGAGUGCUGUAGGGGUAACUGGAAUUCCUGGUGUAGCGGUGAAAUGCGCAGAUAUCAGGAGGAACACCGAUGGCGAAGGCAGGUUACUGGGCAGUUACUGACGCUGAGGAGCGAAAGCAUGGGUAGCGAACAGGAUUAGAUACCCCGGUAGUCCCAUG
rnacentral:rRNA from 1 species